rnacentral:rRNA from 1 species
GUGUCAGCAGCCGCGGUAAAACGUAGGAGACGAGCGUUAUCCGGAUUUACUGGGCGUAAAGCGCGUGCAGGCGGUUUAUUAAGUCACUUGUGAAAGCGCCCGGCUCAACUGGGCGAGGCCGUGUGAGACUGAUAGACUUGAGAGAGGUAGAGGCGAAUGGAAUUCCGGGUGGAGUGGUGAAAUGCGUAGAGAUCCGGAGGAACACCAGUGGCGAAGGCGAUUCGCUGGGCCUUCUCUGACGCUCAGACGCGACAGCAUGGGGAGCGAACGGGAUUAGAUACCCCCGUAGUCC